rnacentral:rRNA from 1 species
AGCUGGCGGCAGGCCUAACACAUGCAAGUCGAGCGAACCUAUCUUGCUAGGUGAGCGGCGAACGGGUGAGUAACGCGUAGGAAUCUACCUAGUAGUGGGGGACAACGUCUCGAAAGGGACGCUAAUACCGCAUACGCCCUACGGGGGAAAGGGGGGGAUCUUCGGACCUCUCGCUAUUAGAUGAGCCUGCGUCGGAUUAGCUAGUUGGUGAGGUAAAGGCUCACCAAGGCGACGAUCCGUAGCUGGUCUGAGAGGAUGAUCAGCCACACCGGAACUGAGACACGGUCCGGACUCCUACGGGAGGCAGCAGUGGGGAAUAUUGGACAAUGGGGGCAACCCUGAUCCAGCCAUGCCGCGUGUGUGAAGAAGGCCUUCGGGUUGUAAAGCACUUUAGGGGGGGAGGAAGGUCUCAAAGCGAAUACCUUUGAGAAUUGACGUUACCCCCAGAAUAAGCACCGGCUAACUCCGUGCCAGCAGCCGCGGUAAUACGGAGGGUGCAAGCGUUAAUCGGAAUUACUGGGCGUAAAGCGCGCGUAGGCGGCUUGGUAAGUCGAUUGUGAAAUCCCCGGGCUCAACCUGGGAAUUGCAGUCGAGACUGCUUGGCUAGAGUGUGGGAGAGGGUGGUGGAAUUCCCGGUGUAGCGGGUGAAAUGCGUA